UACAGAGGUCUCAAGCGUUGUUCGGAUUCAUUGGGCGUAAAGGGUGCGUAGGUGGCGCGCUAAGUCAGGUGUGAAAUCUCGGGGCUUAACUCCGAAACUGCAUUUAAUACUGGCGUGCUUGAGGACUGGAGAGGAGACUGGAAUUCAUGGUGUAGCAGUGAAAUGCGUAGAGAUCAUGAGGAAGACCAGUGGCGAAGGCGGGUCUCUGGACAGUUCCUGACGCUGAGGCACGAAGGUCAGGGGAGCAAACGGG
rnacentral:rRNA from 1 species